UUUACAUUUGAGAACACAGAGCUCAGAGAGGUCAAAUCACUUUCCCAAAGACCCUAUAGCCAGCAGCUACUGGGUUCGAACUGAGAUCUGUUCUGACCCACAUAUGUUUUUCUGUGUCCAUUCUGUCAGUCUGCACUGUAAGAGGCAGAGUAAAUGCUUCCUUUUGGGGAAGAGAUAACUGUCCCGUGGUUGGUACCAUGGCUCAUAGAUAAACCUUAAUAAUAUUUUGAAUCAAAUUGAUGUGACUUGGACACAGUUUGGCCAAGGGAGCAUCUGCUGGGCUAGCUCAGGUCCAGUGUACCAAGAUGGAGAGUGAGACUGUGCCUCACACGGGGCUGCUGCGUUGCACAACUCCAGGAGAUGCCAUUCAUAUCCUAGUUUAUGUGAAUGGCACUCCCUGGAGCACAGUCUCUGUGCAUGUAGUUGGCAGUCCCGGCCCAGCAUCAGUGUCUGUAGUUAUUAUCACAGACUUUAAGCUUCGUGAGGUCAGGGAUAAUAUCCUACCUGUCUCCGAGUCCCUGUGGUGCCCAGGACAAGACCUGGGAGGAUGGUAGGUGGUCCAGAGGUGCUUGCUUGAUGUGAACACCUGCUCUCACCCUCUAGGCUGUAAAUUCCAUUAGGUCAGAGCCCCUGGUCCAAGGAGAAUUCUCUCACACAGAUGCUGCGCACACCAGUGGUUGUAACAAUGCCGUUUGCCUCCUUCAGGUCUUGCGCUUCAGUCGUGGGCGAAGCCUGAGGAAAAAGAGAGAGAGGCUCAAGGAAGAGAGGAGAGCCCAGUCUGUGCCAAGAGAUGAGGUGGCCCAAAGCAAGGGCAGUGUCUCAGCAGGAGACACCCCCAGCAGUGAACAGGCUGUGGCCAGAAAAGAAGAAGCCAGAGAAGAGUUCCUGUCAGCCUCCCCAGAACCCAGAGCAAAGGAUGAGAGGAGGAGAAAGUCAAGGCCCAAGGUGUCAGCAUUUUCUGACCCCACCCCACCAGCCGACCAACAGCCUGGACACCAGAAGAACCUGCAUGCUCAUAAUCACCCUAAAAAGAGGAACAGGCAUCGGUGUUCAUCCCCACCCCCACCCCAUGAGUUCAGGGCAUAUCAGCUCUACACAUUGUACCGGGGCAAGGAUGGGAAAGUGAUGCAGGCACCAAUAAAUGGUUGUCGAUGUGAACCUCUAAUCAACAAGCUGGAGAAUCAGUUGGAGGCUACUGUGGAGGAGAUAAAAGCAGAGCUGGGAUCGGUUCAGGACAAAAUGAAUACAAAGCUGGGGCAGAUGGAGAAUAAGACCCAGCACCAAAUGCGUGUUUUGGACAAGCUGAUGGUUGAGAGACUUUCUGCAGAGAGGACGGAGUGCCUGAACCGCCUGCAACAGCACUCAGACACGGAGAAGCAUGAGGGGGAGAAACGACAGAUAUCCUUGGUGGAUGAAUUAAAAACCUGGUGCAUGUUAAAGAUUCAGAAUCUGGAGCAGAAGCUUUCUGGAGAUUCUAGAGCCUGCAGAGCUAAAUCCACACCGUCUACUUGCGAGUCCUCUACAGGUGUGGAUCAAUCAGUGGUGACUGCAGGUCCAGCAGCAGCUUCUGACAGCUCCCCUCCAGUGGUUAGGCCCAAAGAAAAGGCCCUCCACUCCACUGCUACCCAGAGACUCCAGCAGGAGCUGUCAUCUUCUGACUGUACAGGCUCCCGACUGAGGAACGUCAAGGUCCAGACAGCCUUGCUACCCAUGAAUGAGGCAGCCAGAUCUGAUCAGCAGGCUGGGCCCUGCGUCAACAGAGGCACUCAAACUAAGAAGUCUGGGAAGAGUGGGCCAACAAGGCAUCGUGCCCAGCAACCCGCAGCCAACAGCACCUGUGGGCAGCCGCCACCAGCAGCAGGCAGCGAGCAGACUGGCCCUCACAUUCGGGACACUUCCCAAGCUCUGGAGCUUACCCAGUAUUUUUUUGAGGCUGUUUCUACCCAGAUGGAAAAGUGGUAUGAAAGGAAGAUUGAAGAAGCACGAAGCCAAGCCAAUCAGAAAGCCCAGCAAGACAAGGCUACAUUGAAGGAACACAUUAAAAGUUUAGAAGAGGAACUUGCCAAACUAAGGACUAGGGUGCAGAAGGAAAAUUAGCACCAAUAAAGAGGAAACACGAAAGGAUUCUUGAAGAUUUCCAGUUUUGCAACUGCAUAAUAGCUAUGCCCAAGGAGUCAACUAUAUUGUAUAUAUUGCAGAUUUGCCUUUUUAAAAAAAUCACUAAUUCUACAGUGUGCCAGAUACAUGUUUCCUAUGCCUGGAAGUUAUGAAGACUUCAACAAUUAAACUGAAACCAGGGGAAGCUUGCUUAGUUUUGGGUUUCAUUAUAAACUCUUAGCCUCAGUCCAGGUUAAUCUGAAGUUUGAAAGCUCAGAUUAAGCAAGCCAUGCCAAGAAACUGGAUGAUGUGUAAGCCUAGACUCUAAAAUUCAAGAUGUGUGAAAUAAUAUAAGUCAAAAGCAAGAAAAACGUAAUCCCUUCUGAACUCAAGUAGUCAUUCAUAUAAAUUUGAACACACCUGCUGUGCCUAAACAAGUGUCUUUCUGUAAGAGAGCUGUAACUCUGAGAUGUGCUAAAUAAACCCUCUUUCUCAAAUUCGUAAUUCUCCAACUGUUGACAUUUUAAUCACAUGAAAAGUUAUCAGAUUUUUGAGGAGAAAUAUUUUCAUGAUGUCACAAGAUCCAAUAUAUCUUAUAAAAUUUAUUGAAAAGUCAGUUUAUUUAAAUAAUGAAUAAUUGGCUAACAGCUCUGGAAACAAUGAGAUCAAAUGAGAAAGAUUCAAAUUGUUUGAUAUUUUCUGUAUUUUCAGUCAAAAAAUCAGUUAUAUAGUGAUUUUAAAGCAGAUUAAUGGAAAAAACAUUCAUGUAACAAUUACCUGAAAAUUUAUAACCUAUUCCUAAUCAAACCCAAUUAUAUCAGAAUACCUUUCUGAAUUUGAGAUUAUUGCUCUACAUUUUAUAAUGAAUAAGGCUAUUUUUUGAAAGUAUUUCAUUUUGAAUUCUGUCAUUAAAGAACCUCAAAAGCUUUCUACUGCUUUGCAGUGAAGGCAAAAUAUUCAAUAACUCAACUUAGGCCCCACUGUUCCCCAACUUCAUGGAGGCCAGAAGACUUUACUUUGUUCCAUAAUGAAAUAUAAACACAGAACAAAGUUGUAAAAGUAGCUUGGAUAUGUUGAAACUUUGGACAAGCUGCUUGUCCUUUGGAAUAUGGGAUUUAUAUUCAUCUCCUCAAUAUCCCAUGUAUGCACAGAAACUUCUAUAGACACAGGAACCUAGUGACUAUUGAACGUAAUUGUAAUAAAAUGCUGCUCAUUGAGCCAAAGAGAAGAAAUGACUUAUUAACAUGGGGACACCAAGAAAAACAAAGUAUGCUUUUAUUCCCUUUGUCAAGCUCAGUUUUGGGGUUUUUUUCUUUUUUUUAUAGUGACAAUCCAUAGAUAUAGACAUUCCUAAAAAAAAUAAUAAUUCAGUAGAUAUAUGUCACUGUUACCUGAAUAUGGAAUGAAUUUGAUGUUUUUUAUUUUGUUGAGACAGGGUCUUGCUCUGUCACCCAGACUGGAGUGCAGUGGCAUGAUCACACCUCACUGCAGCCUUGGCCUCUCAGGCUCAAGCGAUCCUCCUGCCUCAACCUCGCAAGUAGCUGGGACUACAGGCGUGUGCCACCAGUCCUGGCUAACUUUUUGUAUAUAUAGGGUCUCGCUAUAUUGCCCAGGCUGAAUUUGAUGUUAUUUCAAGUUGAUUUUCAUGUGUUUGGGAGCUUGUCUUGUUCUCAACAACUACUACGCAGGUAGACGGUCUUCCCCCAGAGACUCACUAGAUUGCAAUAUAGAGGCACUUUCUCAUUUCCCUAUUGUUCCUAAUACAGAAUUGUAGAGCUGGAGAGUACCUUCAGUUUUCUAAAUCUAUUCUCAAACAGGAUAUCACUAACCUCUUUAGAAUCAUUCCUCAGUAUACAUCAAUUUAUUGAGAACUGCCUAAUACUCAAAUCCUGAGUUCAGUAGGCUGUGUUUCAAGCAGGAAUUAUUUUCACUUACCAAAAUAUCUCCUAUUACCUCAAGGUAUCCUUGUUGAGGGAUGCUGAAAACUAAAUUUUAAGUAUCAAGUCUAGACCAUAGAGUGCUUUGGUGGGAGUAUUUUGAUUACCUCCUACCCAUCAGAAGCAGGCAGCUAAUAUUGUGAACUGAGUAUUUUUGUCAAAAGUCACAGGAAAGAGACUACAGAAGAAUGAGAAGGGUCAAAAGGACCUAGUGUGGCUUACUACAUGGAUCUUGUCUCUUGGAGGUCUGUCGUAGAAGAAAAAACAAAUAGAGGUGAUGAAGACACAGAACAGGCUCAGUCAGCAUCCUUACCCAGAGAUGGCAACAUCUAUUAAGACCAAUGCAAUACCUUUUCAUCUUCAACAAAUGUUGUUUCAUCUGUUUUUGAUCCUUGGCAUUGUCAAAAACUUAACUGCAGGUCCAGUGUAUAUUUUUCCUUAUUUUUCCCUUUUAGCUAUCUGCUAAAAUGAGUAAAUGCCACAACUGUACUUUUCCAAAGAAACAGAACUAUUGACAACUUAUAGCCUGUCAUGCAGGUCAUGUUUCAAAUCAAGGCUGAAAUUUUCAACAGCUGUGGGAAAAACUAAAACAGAAACAUUGUACAGUAUUAGUGUUUUUUCAAAGAAAUUGUUAGUGCAUUAUUGAGUAUCCUAAAUAUCUGAUAGAUUAAAUAAAUUAGUUCUAAUCUUUCUUACUUUUGAUUUUGGGAGCCC
rnacentral:sRNA from 1 species